AUCUACGGCCAUACCACCCUGAAUGUGCCCUGUCUUGUCUGAUCUUGGAAGGUAAGCAGGGUUGGGCCUGGUUAGUACUUGGAUGGAAGACUGCCUAGGAAUACUGGGUACUGUAGGCU
rnacentral:rRNA from 1 species